GAUGAACGCUGGCGGCGUGCCUAAUACAUGCAAGUCGAGCGAACAGACGAGGAGCUUGCUCCUCUGACGUUAGCGGCGGACGGGUGAGUAACACGUGGAUAACCUACCUAUAAGACUGGGAUAACUUCGGGAAACCGGAGCUAAUACCGGAUAAUAUAUUGAACCGCAUGGUUCAAUAGUGAAAGACGGUUUUGCUGUCACUUAUAGAUGGAUCCGCGCCGCAUUAGCUAGUUGGUAAGGUAACGGCUUACCAAGGCAACGAUGCGUAGCCGACCUGAGAGGGUGAUCGGCCACACUGGAACUGAGAAACGGCCCAGACUCCUACGGGAGGCAGCAGUAGGGAAUCUUCCGCAAUGGGCGAAAGCUUGACGGAGCAACGCCGCGUGAGUGAUGAAGGUCUUCGGAUCGUAAAACUCUGUUAUUAGGGAAGAACAAAUGUGUAAGUAACUAUGCACGUCUUGACGGUACCGAAUCAGAAAGCCACGGCUAACUACGU
rnacentral:rRNA from 1 species